rnacentral:rRNA from 1 species
CCUACGGGCGGCAGCAGUGGGGGAUAUUGCACAAUGGGGGAAACACUGAUGCAGCGACGCCGCGUGUGGGAAGACGGUCCUCUGUAUUGUAAACCACUGUCCCCAGGGACGAAGAUGACGGUACCUGGGGCGGAAGCUCCGGCUAACUACGUCGCAGCAGCCGCGGUCAUACGUAGGGAGCGAGGGUUGUCGGGAGGUACUGGGUGUAAAGGGAGCGUAGGCGGGGAUGCAAGGUGGGGGUCAAAACUACCGGCUCAACUGGUAGUCGCUGUCAAAACUGCAGCUCUUGAGUGAAGUAGAGGCAGGCGGAAUUCCUAGUGUAGCGGUGAAAUGCGUAGAUAUUAGGCGGAACACCAGUGGCGAAGGCGGCCUGCUGGGCUUUUACUGACGCUGAGGCUCGAAAGUGUGGGGAGCAAACAGGAUUAGAUACCCGGGUAGUC